CAAAGAGCUGUCAAAGGAUACAGGAAGAAAAUUGUAGACCUGCACCAGGCUGGGAAAAGUGAAUCUACAAUAGACAAGCAGGAUCUCAUCCCGUGGGGUCAAAAUCAUCAUGAGAACGGUGAGCAAAAAUCCCGGAACGACACGGAGGGACCUGAUGAAUGACCUGCAGAGAGCUGGGACCAACGUAACAAAGGCCACCAUCAGUAACACAGUACGCCGAGAGGGACUCAAAUCCUGAGUGCCAGGUGUGUCCCCCUGCUUAAGCCAGUACAUGUCCAGGCCCGUCUGAGGUCUGCCAGAGAGCAUGUGGAUGAUAGAGAAGAGAAUUGGGAGAAUAUCAUGUGCUCAGAUGAAAGCAAAAUAGAACUUUUUGGCACAAACUCGACUCGGAGGAAGAAGAAUGCUGAAUUGCAUCCUAAGAACACCAUACCUACUGUGAAGCAGGGGGUGGAAACAUCAUGCUUUGGGGUUGUUUUUCUGCACAGGGGAAAGGAUGACUGAUCCGUGUUAAGGGAUGAAUGAACGGUACCGUGUAUUGUGAGAGUUUAAGCCAGAACCUCCUUCCAUCAGUGAGAGCAUUGAAGAAGGAACAUGGCUGGAUCUUCCAGCAUCACAAUGAACCCAAACACUCCGCUGGGGCAACGAAGGAGUGGCUCUGUAAAAAGCAUUUCAAGGUCCUGGAAUGGCCUAGCCAGUCUCCAGACCUCAGCCCCAUAGAACAUUUGUGGAGGGAGUUGAAAGUCUGUGUUCCCCAGUGAAGUCCCAAAACAUCACUGCUCUAGAGGAGAUCUGCAUGGAAGAAUGGGCCAAAAUACCAGCUACAGUGUGUCCAAACCGGGUGAAGACUUACAGUAAAUGUUUGACCUCUGUCUUUGGCAACAAAGGUUAUGCUACAAAGUAUUGAGAUGAACUUUUGUUAUUGACCAAAUACUUAUUUUCCACCAUUUGUUUUUCUCAUAGUUGUAGUGAACCUAUGAUGAAAAUUACAGACCUCUCAUCUUUCUAAGUAGGAGAACUUGCACAAUCAGAGGCUGACUAAUUACUUUGUUGCCCCACUGUAUUGGUAGAUUCUGAAAAUGCAUUAAUAAAUCAUAGAAAUAAACACUGGGAAAUAAAAAAGGCAAAACAAAACAACUUUAUAUUUCUAAAGUUGUUCAUAGAAAAAUAAUAACACAAAACACAUUUCUUUUCCUGUAUUUAACCAGAUUAUAACCAACCAAAAACAGAAUAAACCUACUUAAUGUACAAGUGAGGGAAUAAAUGUGUGGAUAAAAAGAUGUCUGUACUGUAUUAUUGUAUUAUUUGCACUUUGAGAGACAUGUAUGAGUAAAGAUAAAGAGCCCCUGGAUAAU